rnacentral:rRNA from 1 species
CGGAGGGUGCAAGCGUUAUCCGGAUUCACUGGGUUAAAGGGUGCGUAGGCGGAAUUGUAAGUCCGUGGUGAAAUCUCCAAGCUUAACUUGGAAACUGCCAUGGAUACUAUAGUUCUUGAAUGUUGUGGAGGUUUGCGGAAUAUGUCAUGUAGCGGUGAAAUGCUUAGAUAUGACAUAGAACACCGAUUGCGAAGGCAGCAGGCUACACAAAUAUUGACGCUGAGGCACGAAAGCGUGGGGAUCAAACAGGAUUAGAUACCCUGGUAGUCCACGCCCUAAACGAUGAUUACUCGACAUUUGCGAUAUACAGUAAGUGUCUGAGCGAAAGCAUUAAGUAAUCCACCUGGGAAGUACGACCGCAAGGUUG